UGGAUAUCUUGCCCCAGUCUUGUGUAUCCCAUGGAAGAGAAAGCAUGUGAAGGUUACCAAGGUUGAAGUAAACGGCUUAAACAGGAAGUCAAAGAAUUCAAAGACCUCAUUGUGCCAGCUCUGACCCCAUCAUUGCUUAUGUGACCACUGUGCCUUUUUUUUUCUUUUUCUUUUUUAAAGUAAAACAAUGUUAAUUCAUGACACCUAAUGCUGUAACGUUUGUUACCAAUAUGAAUAUUUAGUGGUUGAUGUUUAAUGGCUUUUUUUUUAAGAGAGAGACCUGUAACCAAUGUGAAUGUGUGUACAUCUGUGUGGGAUGAACAAACAUGGCCAGUUUGUGUAGUGGAUGAAUUAUGAAUUUUAUAUGCAAAAUGUUGAGCCAUUUUUCAUUCAGUGCAGAAAUUGUCAUGCUAUUCGUGGAAGAGUCUUGUAAGUGGAAUUUGAUACGCUCAAGCCACACAAUAGUCAAGUCAAUAGUCACAGUUUUUGAUGCUUCCAAGGCUUUGGUGGCUUCCUGAAUCGUUCCAUAAAUGUGAUGAUGCUA